GAGCGCCCGUAGCAAUACGGGAGCGGCAGACGGGAGAGUAACACGUGGGAACGUACCUUUCGGUUCGGGAUAACCCAGGGAAACUUGGGCUAAUACCGGAUACGUCCGUAAGGAGAAAGAUUUAUCGCUGAAGGAUCGGCCCGCGUCUGAUUAGCUUGUUGGUGAGGUAACGGCUCACCAAGGCGACGAUCAGUAGCUGGUCUGAGAGGAUGAUCAGCCUCACUGGGACUGAGACACGGCCCAGACUCCUACGGGAGGCAGCAGUGGGGAAUAUUGGACAAUGGGCGCAAGCCUGAUCCAGCCAUGCCGCGUGGGUGAUGAAGGCCUUAGGGUUGUAAAGCCCUUUCGGCGGGGAAGAUAAUGACGGUACCCGCAGAAGAAGCCCCGGCUAACUUCGUG
rnacentral:rRNA from 1 species